GUAGGGAAUAUUGGGCAAUGGAGGCAACUCUGACCCAGCCAUGCCGCGUGCAGGAUGACGGCCCUCUGGGUUGUAAACUGCUUUUAUACGGGAAGAAAAAAUACUACGUGUAGUAUACUGACGGUACCGUAAGAAUAAGGAUCGGCUAACUCCGUGCCAGCAGCCGCGGUAAUACGGAGGAUCCAAGCGUUGUCCGGAUUUAUUGGGUUUAAAGGGUGCGUAGGCGGAUCUUUAAGUCAGUGGUGAAAGCCUGCAGCUUAACUGUAGAAUUGCCAUUGAAACUGAAGAUCUUGAAUGUGGUUAAAGUAGGCGGAAUGUAUCAUGUAGCGGUGAAAUGCUUAGAUAUGAUACAGAACACCGAUAGCGAAGGCAGCUCACUAGGUCUGGAUUGACGCUCAGGGACGAAAGCGUGGGGAGCAAACAGGAUUAGAAACCCGAGUAGUCC
rnacentral:rRNA from 1 species